ACGGGAGGCAGCAGUGGGGAAUAUUGGGCAAUGGGCGCAAGCCUGACCCAGCAACGCCGCGCGAAGGAUGAAGGUCUUCGGAUUGUAAACUUCUUUAAUCGGGGAAGAAAAAAAUGACCUACCCGAAGAAUAAGCCACGGCUAACUACGUGCCAGCAGCCGCGGUAAUACGUAGGGGGCAAGCGUUGUCCGGAAUGAUUGGGCGUAAAGGGCGCGUAGGCGGGGAUGCAAGUCAGAUGUGAAAUCCAUGGGCUCAACUCAUGAACUGCAUUUGAAACUGUAUCUCUUGAGUGCUGGAGAGGUAGAUGGAAUUCCUAGUGUAGCGGUGAAAUGCGUAGAUAUUAGGAAGAACACCAGUGGCGAAGGCGAUCUACUGGACAGUAACUGACGCUGAGGCGCGAAAGCGUGGGGAGCAAACAGGAUUAGAUACCCUGGUA
rnacentral:rRNA from 1 species